rnacentral:rRNA from 1 species
CAGCAGCCGCGGUAAUACGUAGGUGGCAAGCGUUGUCCGGAAUUAUUGGGCGUAAAGGGCUCGCAGGCGGUUUCUUAAGUCUGAUGUGAAAGCCCCCGGCUCAACCGGGGAGGGUCAUUGGAAACUGGGAAACUUGAGUGCAGAAGAGGAGAGUGGAAUUCCACGUGUAGCGGUGAAAUGCGUAGAGAUGUGGAGGAACACCAGUGGCGAAGGCGACUCUCUGCUCUGUAACUGACGCUGAGGAGCGAAAGCGUGGGGAGCGAACAGGAUUAGAUACCCCUGUAGUCCCUGUCUCUUAUAC